rnacentral:lncRNA from 1 species
ACUAUACUAUUUGAGAUUAUUUCUCUUCUAUAAAAAAUAUUUGGUUUUUUAAUUUGUUGUAAAAUCUAAGUUAGAGGCGUUUGAGGAACGGCGAGAAAUGCCUGUAGAUUUGACACUUGCACCUUCAUCUAUUCUCUUUAAUGUGAAAUUAAAGGGAUACAAAAGGGCAAAACUCAAGAAUAGUGAAUACUGGACGGGAUUAGGAGAAAAGGGCAGACGGUGGAGUUUCUGUUGGUUUUGGAUGGACUCAAAGAUGGAGAUUUGUUUUGGGAUGACGUUGUGCAGAUAAGAUUCAUCUAUGGAGAAAGCUAAUGGGCCGAAGUUGGGAUUAGGCUUUGUCUGAGUAGAGUCACCCAUCGGAGAAAAAUGGCAGCUGCACGAAGGCUGCUCUCCGCGACGCUAUACAGAGUCCUAUCAUGGACCGAAGUUUGCUUCAUCAAAACUGUCAACCAAUGUACGGCCUUAACCUAGUGCUGAGGAGCACUUAUGUUCGCCCACUGUACAAGCAAAUAUGUAUGCACACACCACAUUCCAUUGGCACUUUGAGCUUGACAAAAUGGCAAUUUCUCUUCUACCGUCCCAUCCUCUUUCCCUCCAAACCCAGAAUUCCUUUCUUCAAACUAACUUCAAAACCCAUUUGACCCAUUGAAACUAGGCCUUUUAGAACCCAUUUAACAAAAAUCCUUGCUCAAUUUUAUUCUUUAAAGAAGGUUUAAUACAGGUAGGACGAACAUAACCCAACAUGACUUAUUUUUUGAUGCCUGAAUUUUUAUUUUUCGAUUUCCUCUUGGAAUGGGGUUUUGUUUUCAUUACCUCUACUCUUUGGAUAAAUCUACAUUUUUUAUUUGUAAUUUUUGUGAAUGCUGCAUUAGUUCCUAUAUAUUUUUAAAAAAUAUAUUGUGUAGGUUCUUACACUGGAAAUUUUUGUUUCUUAAAAUUUUAGAAAACUAUAUUUUGUACUGUCUGAAUCUACUAGAUUUCAAGCAAGUCACCUAGGUCAAGACAAAGAUUUUGGUUUUGUAAAGCCUCAUUUAGAUAUUUUCUUCUAGCUUUGGGUUAAUUUAGGAAAGCUUUUAGGAUUUCAUGAUUUGGUAUAUUUAAUAUAUGUGCAAUGUUUUCCACUAUUUCAGUUAUAUUUUUUAUCACCCACGGCAGAUUGGCUAUUCUGAAAUUACGUUUUCUUGGAUUGCUUCAUGUUUUUAGUUUUACCAUUUUCUUUUGGUGAAAUUUGAGAUUUUGUGUUAAUUGAUGGGAGGAAUGUGUGCUUUCAAAUACAACUCACUCAAUUUCUUAGCAGCCUUUAGUAGAUUCUCAUCUCCAAUCUAAGCCUACAUUAUUGUGUAUCUAAUGAAAAAAUGAAAUGGUUAUACAUUUUUCUUCGUCCUACAAUGCUUUUCUAUAACAUGGAAGUCAUAUUCUUGUGUGAAAAUAAUUGUUUUAAUCAUAUUGUAGAGAUUACUGUUUCAAUUUCUGCUAUAUAGCAAGUUAUUUAAGAAUCUGAGUACCAUGCUUGGAAUUCAGUGAAAUAUUUUGCGUCUGCUGUCGUUUUUAAUGAGAGGAUGAUAAUUCCAGUAUCUAGAAAUCGACAGAGGAGCCUAAUCUUUUCUAUUUUUAAUUUUUUGAUGUUUUGGUAUCUUGUGAUUAACUAAGUUCCCUAAAUUUUCAUCUUUACUUCGUUGCCUGCUUGUGUUUUUCAUAUGAUAGUUUAUGUGAGGAUUUUAAUUGACAGCAAUCUAGAUACAGAUUCAUUUAUAUUUGUAUUACUCUUUUAAUCAUUUGUUUAGCCUUGAAUAUGUCAUUUGAUAUUUACCUUCAAGUUCCAUAUAUUUUUCUAUUUAUACAGGUGAAAGAAAGGACUUGUUCAUCGAGGGAGGCCUUUUCUUCGUUUGUUUGUGUAAGUAGAAUGGUGCUCAGUGUACAUCUGUUGAUUUGGUUAUUAUUUAGUGAAUCUUUACUCUUUAACGAGAUAUUGAAUUGAAUAUUGGUGAGUUGAUAUUUAUGCUAUGAUUUUUCUACUUUUCUUGUUCGCUCUUAUGGGAUUUUUAAAAUGGCAUAAUCUUCGAUUGUGAGAUAAAGCACACAUUGUUGAUGGGGUUGGGUGUAAGAAAAGACUAUUUUUUGAAUAAUUUUGACCGUUUUUUGGAAAGGAAACUGUGAAAAAGAAGGGAAUUCACUUAAAAUGCCAAGUAUAUAAUGUUGAAGAUAGAAGUGCAAAAGAAGUCAGAACAUUGAACUGUAGAUGCAAUUUAUCGUUAGAAAUAUAGUGAAAAUAAAGGGAUUAUCUGAUUUUGUAAGUUAGGCAAUUUAGAUUUCAUACUUUGGAAUCGAGAUGGUUUCCUUUGUCUUUUCCAUUAUCAUAGUUUAAUUGCUUUUUAUUUUUUUAUUGAAGCCUUUUUUAUUCUAUAUCGGGAACUGAUAAAUUAUGUCUAUGCAUAAAACUGCCAAAACUGUAUUGACUGCAUAUUCUUUUCCUUCUAAGAAUCCAAGUGUGAACUAGCUAUUUUGUACUGAACUUCCGCUACUUCCAUAAUCACAGUAGGAAAAACAUUGCAAAAAUUUUACAAGAUAUGUGAUUGAUGUAGAUUUCAUGAUGGUGUUGACUGCAUUGAUAGUAUAUUGGAAAGAACAAUGAUGUCUCUGCUACAAUUGAAGCCAACGUUUUUAUCAUAAUUAUUCUUGCUAAUAUUUUUUUACACACAUUAAUGGGAGCUUUCCACCUGCCUAUCCUCAAUGUUUUCAACUUAAUUGUCGGAGAUGGCUACUCUUAAGAAGUUGGAAUUCAUGAGAGAACUCAGAAAGGUACUCUACAUAUUCUAUUUUUCUUUUUGUUGUUAUACAUGUUCUCGAUGAAGAGUAAUUUGGUGAAAGUUACCAAACAAAAAUUUUGAUUUACGUUCUCCAACUUUUCUUGGUAAGUUCCCACAAUUGGUGUUGUUGGAAGUUUUGCCCUUGUUAAGAUACUUGAGCAAAUUGGAAAAUAAGGUCAACUCCUACUUGAUUUUGAUUUCAAAUGCUCGAUUAAUUUAUUUAAUGAAUCUAAAUCUUGUAAUGAUGAGUUUUAUGAUACAUAUAAUUUGUUUUCUUAAUAAUUCGACCUGACAUCAAGAAAUGUCCCAAAUGAACUUAGUUGGACUCCUUCGAAACAAUGCAAUAAUCUAUAUGAACAGUUAUAUUAGGUCACAAGUUUUAUUCACAUUCAGUAAUGUUUCUUAAGAUCAGUUGGAGAUCGCAUGAAUAUACACUCAUUUUAAAAUGAUGGUGAAAAAAAUUCUAUUAUGAAGCAUAUGUUCAUGCAUCAUCUUAUUUUACUGAUAAACCUCCUAUACGGUUCACUUACAAGAGGCGUCACAAGAAUUUGGUGUAAAGGGAAUAUUAGUUGUUAGAUUGGCUGAAAAUAAAUCAGUUAUGCUGACGUCACAUUUACUUAUAAAUACCAGUAGUAGAGUCUAGAAGAUCAUUCAGAAAACAGGAAAUUCUGAGUCAUUAGGAGAGGGGCAACUCUCGAAACUUGCCAAUUUACUCUUUUCUUUCAUACUGUUCAUUUCAUUCCGUAUCAAUUAAAUUCUUCUUCAAUUCCAUUAUUUUACUUACAAUUCAGCUUUCUAUUAACUCGAAUUGCAAUUGUGUGCUGCUAAUUCAUUGGGCUUGAGCAGAUCUUACCAUUUGGUAUCAGAGCCGGUCAAAUUUCUGGGAAACGGAUGCCAGUCACGAGAAUGGACGUCAGAAUUGAAGCAUUGGAGAAAUCCGUACCUUCCUUGAGUGCGAGCAUGGUCGAAUUGAAAGGAGAUGUGGAACAUUUGAAUAAUCAAGUGGGACUGGAACUCGGGAAGAUGAACCAGAGGCUCGAAGCGAGCCUCGCGCUGGGUAGACGGGAGUUGAACGACGGGUUAUGGCUAAUAGAGAAGAUGUUGAAGGGCUCGAAAUUAAGUUCCUCCAGCAGUCCAGGAGAAGAGAGUGGGAGGAUGUCGACCACUUCUGUCGAGGAGCAGCCGGAAGUGGAAAACGUGAAUUCCGAGAAGAUGGCGGUUGCCUCUGUUGAAGGUAACUAUCGAAAACUUGAAUUGCCACUGUUCAAUGGAGUCGAUCCUGACUCCUGGAUAUUUAGAGCUGAGAGGUACUUCCGAAUGAACAAGUUCGAUGAUGUUGAGCGAGCUGUGGCUGCGGGUGUAUGUAUGGAAGGAGCAGCGCUAUCCUGGUUUCAAUGGGAGGAUGGACGGCGACCCAUGCACAACUGGACUGAACUUAAACGGCGACUACUGGAGAGGUUUCGAGAUACCCAGUAUGGAACCUUACACCAAAGGUUCCUGGCUAUCAAGCAAACAGGAACGGUAGCUGAGUUCAGGGAGCGAUUUGAAGUCAUGGCAGCACCCCUGAAAAAUGUCAGUGACGAUGUACUGGAAGGAGUUUUCAUUAAUGGGUUGGACGAAGAAGUGCAGGCUGAAGUACUGAUGGCGAAUCUGGUGGGACUAUCCCAGAUUAUGGACUUGGCCCAGCGGGUUGAAGAUAGGAACAACCGAAUCAACAAGGGAAGGGAGAAGGAGCGACCGCGAUUUAGGAAUGUGAUGAAUCCUAACCCGGUUCGAGGGGAACAGAGAACUCUUCCCUGGAAUGUGACGAGGGGAGUUAAUUCACCUGAUAAGGUGGGCACGAAUCUGCCGAACACCACUUUUGGGUUUAAAAAGCUGACCCAGGCUGAAAUCCAAGCUAAGAAGGAGAAGGGAUUAUGCUUCCGAUGUGACGGGAAGUACACCGUUGGACACCAGUGCCGUAACAAGGAAUUACAUGUGCUGUUGGUAGAUGACGACCUGGAAAAUUAUGAGUUGGAAGGAGAAAUACCGGAAGGGACAGCUGACUGUAACGAACUGGAAGGUGUGGAGUUGUCAAUGAACUCNGUGGUGAAUCGUUGUUUGGAGACUUAUCUCAGGUGUUUUGCGAACAGCCAUCCUCGCUCGUGGUCUGACUGGAUUCCAUGGGCUGAAUUCUGGUAUAACUCAUCCUUCCACACUUCCACUAAGGCCACCCCUUUUAAAGUUGUUUAUGGGAGGGAUCCUCCACCGGUCAUACGUUAUGGGACGCAGCACACACCGGUGGCAGACCUAGAUCAACAGCUCCAGCUGCGAGAUGAAAUGAUUAGUGCCUUGAAGUUACAAUUGGAAAAGGCCCAAAACCGGAUGAAAGAAGUAGCAGACACCAGAAGAAGGGAGGUUCAGUUUCAGGUGGGAGAUCGAGUUUACCUUAAACUCCAGCCAUACCGACAGAGGUCCUUGGCCAAGCGUGCUAAUGAGAAGCUAUCACCGCGAUUUUUUGGGCCCUAUGUCAUUGUUCAGAAAAUAGGUGCAGUGGCUUAUAAGCUCCAGCUUCCAGAAGGCACAAACAUCCACCCAGUGUUCCAUGUUUCUCAACUACGGAAGGCAGUGGGAUCUACCACUUCCAUCCAGCCACUCCCCACUCUUCUCAGCCCUGAUUUAGAGUGGAAAGUGAAACCUGCUGGUGUGUUGGGCAUCAGGCCAGCAAGUGAUCUUGACAAUACCGGGCCAGAGGUACUGAUUCAGUGGGAGGAUCUUCCCCCUUUCGAGGCAUCAUGGGAGCCAUUUGAGCUGAUCAAUUCUCAGUUUCCUGAAUUCCACCUUGGGGACAAGGUGCUUUCGAUGGCGGGGGAUAUUGAUAAACCUCCUAUACGGUUCACUUACAAGAGGCGUCACAAGAAUUUGGUGUAAAGGGAAUAUUAGUUGUUAGAUUGGCUGAAAAUAAAUCAGUUAUACUGAUGUCACAUUUAUUUAUAAAUACCAGUAGUAGAGUCUAGAAGAUCAUUCAGAAAACAGGAAAUUCUGAGUCAUUAGGAGAGGGGCAACUCUCGAAACUUGCCAAUUUACUCUUUUCUUUCAUACUGUUCAUUUCAUUCCGUAUCAAUUAAAUUCUUCUUCAAUUCCAUUAUUUUACUUACAAUUCAGCUUUCUAUUAACUCGAAUUGCAAUUGUGUGCUGCUAAUUCAUUGGGCUUGAGCAGAUCUUACCAUUUACAUGGGAUACUGUAUGGAUCUUUACCAUGCUGUUUCUUUGGAAAGUUCCUACUCACAAAUUAAUGAAAAAUGAUAUUAAUUUUUCACAGAGAAUGUCUAGAAAAGGUGCUUAUUUUCCUUCUUUGAGUAUGUCUAUGGAACUACAACGAAUUUUAUCUGAGCAAUAGAGAUGCUGAUGGGAGUGGAUUCGGUCUACAUGAUUAUUAAAGGGAUAUGAAAAAAUAAAUUAGGAAAAGCUAAAAAAAUUACAGCUUUGUAUAUAAAAAUUGGAGUUUUGUGAGAAUUUUGAGUUCUUUAUUCUAUGCAGAUAACAUGUUUGAAGAAAUUCAGUGAAGAAUGAAAUCUGAAAAGGGUCAAGAAGAGGAUAAGAAAAGGAUGAGGAGUUUUGUCCUAGAAAAUAUGCAACAUUACCUACUAAUAAUGCCAAAGGUACCUAUUUUUAUAAGUACUAAUUUUUUCAUUCACGUU